GGAGCACGUGAAAUUCCGUGUGAAUCCGCGAGGACCACCUCGUAAGGCUAAAUAUUCCUGAAUGACCGAUAGCGUAAUAGUACCGCGAGGGAAAGGUGAAAAGAACCCCGGGAGGGGAGUGAAAUAGAACAUGAAACCAUAAGCUUACAAGCAGUAGGAGGACGAUUUAACGUUUGACUACGUUCCUGUUGAAGAAUGCGCCGGCGACUUAUAGGUAAUGGCUUGGUUAAAGUAGCGAAUACUGGAGCCCUAGCGAAAGCGAGUCUGAGAAGGGCGUUUGUCAUUAUUUAUAGACCCGAACCCGGAUGAUCUAACCAUGGCCAGGAUGAAGCUUAGGUGAUACUAAGUGGAGGUCCGAACCGACUGAUGUUGAAAAAUCAGCGGAUGAGUUGUGGUUAGGGGUGAAAUGCCAAUCGAAUCCGGAGCUAGCUGGUUCUCCCCGAAAUGUGUUUAGGCGCAGCGGUUAAUGUUAUAGUUUAGGGGUAAAGCACUGUUUCGGUGCGGGCUGGUAAAACGGUACCAAAUCGAGGCAAACUAAGAAUACUAAAUGAAUAAUUAACCAGUAAGACUAUGGGGGAUAAGCUCCAUUGUCAAGAGGGAAACAGCCCAGACCACCAGCUAAGGCCCCUAAAUAAUUGCUAAGUGAUAAAGGAGGUGGGAAUGCAUAGACAACCAGGAGGUUUGCUUAGAAGCAGCAAUCCUUUAAAGAGUGCGUAAUAGCUCACUGGUCGAGUAGGCCUGCGCCGAAAAUGAAUGGGGCUAAGUAAUUUGCCGAAGCUGUGGGAUAUUUAUAAUAUCGGUAGGGGAGCGUUCUGUUCUAGGUUGAAGCAUUAACGUAAGUAGAUGUGGACGAAGCAGAAGUGAGAAUGUCGGCUUGAGUAGCGAAAACAUUGGUGAGAAUCCAAUGCCCCGAAAACCUAAGGUUUCCUUCGGAAGGCUCGUCCGCGGAGGGUAAGUCAGGACCUAAGGCGAGGCCGAGAGGCGUAGUCGAUGGACAACGGGUUGAUAUUCCCGUACCCGCGAAGAACCGCAAGAGCUAAACCAGUAAUGCUAAGAGUCCGAAUUUUCUUUCUGAUCCCUUCGGGGUGAGGAUUGAGAGCUAGCACUCGACCCUAUGCUGGCGCGGCUAGCGUAUUAACAGGUGUGACGCAGGAAGGUAGCUGAGCCGGGCGAUGGUUGUCCCGGUGUAAGGAUGUAGGGCGAGGAAUAGGCAAAUCCGUUCCUCACGAAGCCUGAGAUCCGACGCGUACCCCUCACGGGGGAAAUCAGUGAUCCUAUGCUGCCGAGAAAAGCAUCGACGCGAGGUUCUAGUGGCCCGUACCCCAAACCGACUCAGGUGGUCAGGUAGAGAAUACUAAGGAGAUCGAGAGA
rnacentral:rRNA from 1 species